rnacentral:lncRNA from 1 species
AAAGAGCUUUCACUCCACAUUUGAGAUUCACGUUUUUGCCUCCAAGCUUCCAAGCUUCUAAGUGCUCAAGUGUCAUAGCUUUCCAAAAACUUCAAAAGCUUUUCAACUUCUUCUUCUAAUCUUCUUGUUCAUCUCUACAAGUAAAAAGUGUUGUUUGUUUUAAUAUUCCACUCCUCUAAUCACCUCUUAUGUGUGUCCACUUUGGUUGAGAGGGUUGUCUCAAUAUCACCAAAGUGUGAAAGAAGGUUUUUGAACUCAACCAUAAAACUCUAGUUUGGUUUUAUAGAGUUUCGGGGAAAACUCUUAGGUCGAAUCUACUUUGAAAGAUUUCUAGAUUUUUAAAAGUUCAUUGAUACUCUAAGGUCCUAACUUACCCUUAAAAGUUAGAGGUUUUUAAGAGUUCCUUUGAUACUCUAAGGUGUGAGUAUGCCCGUAAAAGACUGGUUCCUAAGCG